GGAUCCAGACUUUGAUCCUGGCUCAGGAUGAACGCUAGCUACAGGCUUAACACAUGCAAGUCGAGGGGAAACGAUAUUGGAAGCUUGCUUCCGAUAGGCGUCGACCGGCGCACGGGUGAGUAACGCGUAUCCAACCUGCCCAUCACUUGGGGAUAACCUUGCGAAAGUAAGACUAAUACCCAAUGAUAUCUCUAGAAGACAUCUGAAAGGGAUUAAAGAUUUAUCGGUGAUGGAUGGGGAUGCGUCUGAUUAGCUUGUUGGCGGGGUAACGGCCCACCAAGGCGACGAUCAGUAGGGGUUCUGAGAGGAAGGUCCCCCACAUUGGAACUGAGACACGGUCCAAACUCCUACGGGAGGCAGCAGUGAGGAAUAUUGGUCAAUGGGCGAGAGCCUGAACCAGCCAAGUAGCGUGCAGGAUGACGGCCCUAUGGGUUGUAAACUGCUUUUAUAAGGGAAUAAAGUGAGCCUCGUGAGGCUUUUUGCAUGUACCUUAUGAAUAAGGACCGGCUAAUUCCGUGCCAGCAGCCGCGGUAAUACGGAAGGUCCGGGCGUUAUCCGGAUUUAUUGGGUUUAAAGGGAGCGUA
rnacentral:rRNA from 1 species